AUUGAACGCUGGCGGCAGGCCUAACACAUGCAAGUCGAGCGGAUGAAGGGAGCUUGCUCCUGGAUUCAGCGGCGGACGGGUGAGUAAUGCCUAGGAAUCUGCCUGGUAGUGGGGGAUAACGUCCGGAAACGGGCGCUAAUACCGCAUACGUCCUGAGGGAGAAAGUGGGGGAUCUUCGGACCUCACGCUAUCAGAUGAGCCUAGGUUGGAUUAGCUAGUUGGUGGGGUAAAGGCCUACCAAGGCGACGAUCCGUAACUGGUCUGAGAGGAUGAUCAGUCACACUGGAACUGAGACACGGUCCAGACUCCUACGGGAGGCAGCAGUGGGGAAUUUUGGACAAUGGGCGAAAGCCUGAUCCAGCCAUGCCGCGUGUGUGAAGAAGGUCUUCGGAUGGUAAAGCACUUUAAGUUGGGAGAAAGGGCAGUAAGUUAAUACCUUGCUGUUUUGACGUUACCAACAGAAUAAGCACCGGCUAACUUCGU
rnacentral:rRNA from 1 species